rnacentral:rRNA from 1 species
GCCCUGCCGUAAACUUAGAUACUUACCACAACAAGCAUCCGCCCGGGUACUACGAGCGCCAGCUUAAAACCCAAAGGACUUGGCGGUGCUUCAGACCCCCCUAGAGGAGCCUGUUCUAGAACCGAUAACCCCCGUUCAACCUCACUACUUCUUGCUUUUCCCGCCUAUAUACCACCGUCGCCAGCUUACCCUGUGAAGGAACCAAAGUAAGCAGGAUGGGCAAUGCCCAAAACGUCAGGUCGAGGUGUAGCGUACGAAAUAGGAAGAAAUGGGCUACAUUAUCUGAAACAGAUUAACUAACGAAAAGUCGCCUGAAACCGGCGGCCUGAAGGAGGAUUUAGCAGUAAAGAGAGAAUAGAGUGCUCUCUUGAAGCCGGCUCUGAAGCGCGCACACACCGCCCGUCACUCUCCCCAACAACACACACAUUUUGUAAUUAACGUAACAAAAGCUACAAGGGGAGGCAAGUCGUAACAUGGUAAGUGUACCGGAAGGUGCACUUGGAAUAAC